CCUGGCUCAGGAUGAACGCUAGCUACAGGCUUAACACAUGCAAGUCGAGGGGCAGCAUGUUGGUUGCUUGCAACCAAUGAUGGCGACCGGCGCACGGGUGAGUAACGCGUAUCCAACCUUCCCUAGUAGAGGAUAGCCCGGCGAAAGUCGGAUUAACACUCUAUGUUGUAUUUUGAUGGCAUCUGACGAAUACCAAAGAUUUAUCGCUAAGGGAUGGGGAUGCGUCUGAUUAGGUUGCAGGCGGGGUAACGGCCCACCUGGCCUACGAUCAGUAGGGGUUCUGAGAGGAAGGUCCCCCACACUGGUACUGAGACACGGACCAGACUCCUACGGGAGGCAGCAGUGAGGAAUAUUGGUCAAUGGGCGCGAGCCUGAACCAGCCAAGUAGCGUGCAGGAAUGACUGCCCUAUGGGUUGUAAACUGCUUUUAUCAGGGAAUAAAGUGAGGCACGCGUGCCUUUUUGUAUGUACCUGAUGAAUAAGGACCGGCUAAUUCCGUGCCAGCAGCCGC
rnacentral:rRNA from 1 species